rnacentral:rRNA from 1 species
AAGAAAGUUUAAUUUUCUUAUUUGCAUAAAUAAGAAUUUAUUUUUUUAGUGAAAAAACUGAAAUUUUUUUAUAGGACGAGAAGACCCUGUAGAACUUCAAUAUAUAUAUACUUAAUUUUWWWUUAWCAAUAAUUUUUGAUUUUUAUGAUCCAAUAUUUUUGAUUAUAAGAUUAAGUUACCUUAGGGAUAACAGCGUAAUUUAAUUGGAGAGUUCUUAUCGAUAAUUUAAGUUUGCGACCUCGAUGUUGAAUUAAGAUUAAGUUUAGGGGUAGAUUUUUAUAUUUUUGGUCUGUUCGACCAUUUAUUUCUUACAUGAUUUGAGUUUAGACCGGUGUGAGCCAGGUUGGUUUCUAUCCUUAAUAUCAAUUAUUAUUUUUUAGUACGAGAGGACCAAAAAUUUAAUUAAUAUUU